rnacentral:misc_RNA from 1 species
AGAAAAACGAAAGCCAAACACACGUUGACAACAUUUUAUGUUACUUAUUAUGAGAUCAACUGGUAGCUUAAUUAGUUCUGCAUUCUUUGAAGAAUAGCACUCCUCACAAGUUCUUCGUUUGUCAGUCCAUCAGGAACUCUAGCCACAACAUCUUGAAGCACCAUCUCCUUGAUGCUUGACAUACUUGCGUGAUGAACUUU